CAGGGGGAAAUUUUUGUUUAGCUAAGGACUAAGAAAUAUUAAACUUAAUUAUUAGAUAUGGGAGUGUAGCACAGUAAGUGCUUGUCUUACAUGCGCAAGGAAGGCCCUGGAUCCAGCAACACAUACGUGCUUCUACUGGGAGUUGGAGAAGAACGCAUCAAGAUUGAGAAGUCAUUUCUCUUGCCACCGCAUAGACAGAUGGUCGAAAGUUUUAAAAAAGAAUAAGAUUCCUCAUAAGGUUCCUCAUUCUGCUUUGCCGCAUUUUAAAGGACUGAAAAAAUACAGCUCUGCUCUUCUUUAUGAGUGUUGCUACGUGGGAUGACCACUGAAGUCAAUACAGUCCUGGUGAGAGUCACCCUUGGGGAUGCUGAGACGCGAAGAUAUAUUUAUGCCAGUACCCUGCUUGAUCCUGCCUACGACCACCUCAGUUAUGUUUCAUCAAAAACCUGCAUCCAAGACAAUUUCUAAAUGGCUAGCUAGAUUGUCCAGCACUACAGACUAUUCCGGUCAGGACUUCACUUAAGCCCAGAACUUUCUCAGCAUGCAGAGACUGGACAGGAAGUGCUAUGGCUAACUUUCUUGAGACUGACCAACAUCCCGAUUUGAGGGUGGGGCAAAAUAAAAAUGAUGCUCCAAGUCAGCAGGAAGCAGUUUUAAGAGAGUGAUACCCCCAUUUCCAAAAGGCUUUUUUGGCAGUGCGACAAGUCAGCUCCUGGCAGCACCCCCAUUCUACUUCAAGAAGAUGAUGACCAUAGAAGAACCUAGCCAGCGGACAAAAAAACUGCCCUUGCUUCAACUGCGCACAGAACGCUGUCCAAAAUGACAAAGAGCGUGCAGCGAAGGUGACCGCUGAGCUUUGCCAAGACAAAGUAAGCAAUUCUUCAUCAUUCCUGCUCCACAGAAAAGUCUGUCAGACAUUCUUGGCCAGAAGACUAAAGAUAGAUGCUCCAAUGUUAUAGAGAAUAUUUGGGGGGACUGUCUAGGCAGCCUGUGGGAAAACUCUGCUAAUUAAGGUCGAACUCCACCAUGACUGGAUAGCCUCUGAGCUCAGCACAAAAUGGAAGAUUCUCUUCUUUAGCAGGUUUUCUCCUCCUUUAACCUUGUCCAGGGGACUCUAAGCCCGACACUGGCCUCUACCAGAGGAAUGUCACAUAGCCUUAAUUAAGGAUCAAUUCUCUUCCACCUGACAAAGCUUGUUCAGCUAGCAACUGAGAUUCCUGAAAAUGCCUCUCCAUGCUAAUGAGGUAUGCCAGGUACCCUAAGUCCCCAGCCAAUGACCUACACCCAUCCCAAAAUUCAAACCUUUAUUCACCCGAAAUAAAGUUGAUCUCCUGCUGA
rnacentral:lncRNA from 1 species